rnacentral:rRNA from 1 species
GAUGAACGCUGGCGGCGUGCCUAAUACAUGCAAGUCGAGCGAACAGACGAGGAGCUUGCUCCUCUGACGUUAGCGGCGGACGGGUGAGUAACACGUGUAUAACCUACCUAUAAGACUGGGAUAACUUCGGGAAACCGGAGCUAAUACCGGAUAAUAUAUUGAACCGCAUGGUUCAAUAGUGAAAGACGGUUUUGCUGGCACUUAUAGAUGGAUCCGCGCCGCAUUAGCUAGUUGGUAAGGUAACGGCUUACCAAGGCAACGAUGCGUAGACGACGUGAGAGGGUGAUCGGCCACACUGGAACUGAGCCACGGUCAAGACUCCUACGGGAGGCAGCAGUAGGGAAUCUUCCGCAAUGGGCGAAAGCUUGACGGAGCAACGCCGCGUGAGUGAUGACGGUCUUCGGAUCGUAAAACUCUGUUAUUAGGGAAGAACCAAUGUGUAAGUAACUAUGCACGUCUUGACGGUACCUAAUCAGAAAGCCACGGCUAACUACGUG